GAAUUGAUCUAAACAAACACUACAAGAAAAAUGGGAUUUAACGGCGUUAAUUUAGCGACAUUUUUAUAAAUGUCACUUUUUCUACUAUUUAGCGACGUUUUAUAAACGUCGCGUUUUGAUUUAAUUAAAACGGUACCGUUUGACAAUACAAGUCGCUUUUAAACGCCUUCAAAUGUCUCACCAUGUUAUCCCACUCCCACUCUCUCUCUCACAGCUCUGUGAGAAUUAGAACCUCUCUCUUUCUUCAAACCUUCAUUAUCGAUCCCUCAAAUCUCUCAUUCACUCGCUCACUCUCUCUUUCUCUCUAAAACCCUUCGGUCUCAGAUAUUACGAUUCAACCUUCUUCAGCUGGUGAUUUCGAUUUCGAAGUUCUCUGUCACGAUUUCAAAGCUCCACUGCCACCACCAUCUGCAUCGUCUACAAAGGGUUUGGAUCAACUCUUUUCUUGCUUGACUAUGUUGUGAGAUCUGAGUUCGAACAGUGAAGGAAGCCCUAGAUUGUUGUGUUUUGGGGGUUCUUCUUGUUCCUUGAUGGAAAUAUCGUCUAUACCGCUACAUCUAAACCCAGCUACAGUUAUUGAGACUAGAUCAUCUCUUUUUCCCCCUCAAGAAGGUUUGCACAAGCUCUCUCUAUUGAACAUGGAAGGUUGCCCUGUUACUACAGCAUGCUUGGGCUCUCUUGUAGGUUGAGAAACUGAUAAAGGAGCUGCCUAGUAUGCUCGCUGAUUUGUCCAAUGGAGAUCUAAAUUCUGCAGAAAAGAAUCAUUUAAGCAAUGGAGAUCUAAGUAUUGGUUUUAAUAACGGAGACAUAUAUUAUUAUUAUUUUUUAAUAUCUAUAUGAUUAUAUCUAUUUAUUUGAUCACUGGAAGGUUUGCAAUUUUUCGAGGAGUCAUAUAAGCUGCAACUGUUCUGCAGAUUUUGCCAUUUCGGUUUCAUGAUCUUCACAUUGGUUGAUUGCUAAAUCAAGUUUUGUUUUCCAAAGGUUGUCGAUAAGUUUUUCCCUUUUAUUCCCCAUCAUAUUUACCAUAAAGUUGACAGCUUGAAACUCUUCUGUUAGGAGGGAAGCAAAUUUAGAAUUUCAAAUUAACCUUUCAAUUUUUCAAUCUUUCAGGCACGUUUGCAGUUUUGCCUUUGUGUAAUGGAACAACUUGCACAAGCCAAUCUUCGAACACACACUUAAAAAUAACAAACCUAACCUAGUUACUCUUACAACCAAGCCCAAAAUGCUACACAUUGAGUAAACUCCGGUGAAUGUCCUUUGUUCGAUUCUUCUUCUUCAUCGUUUUUAUUCUUCAUUUCUUCUUUGAUUCUUCUUGGUUUUUUACAUUUUUUUUUUCUUCUUUU